rnacentral:rRNA from 1 species
UACGUAGGGUGCGAGCGUUAAUCGGAAUUACUGGGCGUAAAGCGUGCGCAGGCGGUUCGCUGUGGCCGGUGUGAAAGCCCCGGGCUUAACCUGGGAAUGGCAUGGGAAACUGGCGGGCUGGAGUGUGGCAGAGGGGGGUGGAAUUCCGCGUGUAGCAGUGAAAUGCGUAGAGAUGCGGAGGAACACCGAUGGCGAAGGCAGCCCCCUGGGCUAACACUGACGCUCAGGCACGAAAGCGUGGGGAGCGAACAGG